UACGUAGGGGGCAAGCGUUGUCCGGAUUUAUUGGGCGUAAAAGGCUUGUAGGUGGCCACGCCAAGUCGGAUGUGAAAUCUCCCGGCUCAACUGGGAGGGGUCAUUCGAUACUGGUGGGCUCGAGGCCGGUAGGGGGAAGUGGAAUUCCCGGUGUAGUGGUGGAAUGCGUAGAUAUCGGGAGGAACACCAAUGGCGAAGGCAGCUCGCUGGGACGUGACUGACGCUGAGACGCGAAAGCGUGGGGAGCAAACAGG
rnacentral:rRNA from 1 species